rnacentral:lncRNA from 1 species
GAGACAGAGUCUCGCUUUGUUGCCCAGGCUGGAGUGCAGUGGCGUGAUCUCGGCUCACUGCAAGCUCCGCCCCCCGACGUUCAAGUGAUUCUCCUGUCUCAGCCUCCCGAGUAGCUGAGGUGGGAGGACUGCUUGAGUGCAAGCUCUGCCUCCCAGGUUCACGCCAUUCUCCUGCCUCAGCCUCCCAAGUAGCUGAGGUGGGAGGACUGCUUGAGCCUGGGAGUUCAAGACCAGCCUGGGCAACAUAGUGAGACCCCAUCUCUACAAAAAAAAUAAAAAAAUAGCUGGGUGUGGUAGCAUGUGCCUGUAGUCCCAGCUACUCAGGAGGCUGAUGUGGGAGGACAGCUUGAGCUCAGGAGGUUUAGGCUGCAGUGAGCUAAGAUAGUGCCACUGCACUCCAGCUUCAGCUACAGAGCAAGACCCUGUCUCUAAAAAUAUAAAGAAAGAAAAUUUAAAAGUAAAGAAAAAGUGGAUCAUUCGGUCCUUUAAGAUGUGGCACUGCCCAAUUAGAACUUUCCUCCAUGCAAUGCAAUUACAGUCACUGAGGCACUGGAUUUUCUAGUUUUAUUUAACUAAGACGGAGACUGAAACAGCCACACGUGGCUCCUGGCUACUGUGCUGCUGAACACAGGCCCUCACUACUCAAAAGUGUGGUCCGUGGACCAGCAGUAUUAGCAUUACCAGGGAGCUCCUUAGGAACAUAGGUCCUUGAUCAGGUGUGGUGGCUCACACCUAUAACCCCAGCACUUUGGGAGGCCAAGGCAGGAGGAUCACUUGAGCCCAGGAGUUCAAGACCAGCCUGGGCAACAUAGUGAAACCUCGUCUCUACAAAAAAAUACAUUAGCCAGCUGUGGUGGUAUGUGCCUGUAGUCCCAGGAGGCUGAGGUGGGAGGAUCGCUUGAGCCUGGGGGAGGUUGAGGCUACAUUGAGCCAUGAUCGCCUCACCUGGGUGACAAAGUGAGACUGUGUCUCAAAAAAGAAAAAGAAAAGAAAUGUAGGCCCUUAGCCUGUACCUCCCCAGCCUGUUAGGCAGAAUCUGAAUUCCACAAAAACACCCCCAAGGGAUUUAGGAGGAUGUUGAAAUCUGAGACCCUCCCAUGGUUGAGGCCACCAGUCACUUACACACAAAUGCCUUCCUCUGCAGCACCAGGAGACAGAGCCCAUCACAGAACUUCUCAGGGUGCCUCCUACACCACACUAGCUUUGUGUGUUUGUUCUUUAAUGCCUCAAGGCAUACUACUAGCCAAGGAGAGUAACUAACAGCAGCUGUUGAACACUAUGGGUCAGACUUUGACCAUCUGUUAUGGACUGAAUUGUGUCACCUACCCAUGACUAAAUUCAUAUGCUGAAGCUCUGACCUCCAACAGGGACUGUAUUUGGAGACAGGGCCUUUGGGAGGUAAUUAAGGUUAAAUAAGGUCAUAAGGGUGGGGUGAUAAGCUGACAAAAGGGAGGCUGGUUGUGGUGGCUCACGCCUGUAAUCCCAGCACUUUGGGAGGCAGAGGUGGGUGGAUCACUUGAGGUUAGCAGUUCAAAACCAACCUGGCCAACGUGGUGAAACCCCACCUCUACCCUGGGAGUUCAAGACCAGCCUGGGCAACAUAGUGAGACCCCAUCUCUACAAAAAAAAUAAAAAAAUAGCUGGGUGUGGUAGCAUGUGCCUGUAGUCCCAGCUACUCAGGAGGCUGAUGUGGGAGGACAGCUUGAGCUCAGGAGGUUUAGGCUGCAGUGAGCUAAGAUAGUGCCACUGCACUCCAGCUUCAGCUACAGAGCAAGACCCUGUCUCUAAAAAUAUAAAGAAAGAAAAUUUAAAAGUAAAGAAAAAGUGGAUCAUUCGGUCCUUUAAGAUGUGGCACUGCCCAAUUAGAACUUUCCUCCAUGCAAUGCAAUUACAGUCACUGAGGCACUGGAUUUUCUAGUUUUAUUUAACUAAGACGGAGACUGAAACAGCCACACGUGGCUCCUGGCUACUGUGCUGCUGAACACAGGCCCUCACUACUCAAAAGUGUGGUCCGUGGACCAGCAGUAUUAGCAUUACCAGGGAGCUCCUUAGGAACAUAGGUCCUUGAUCAGGUGUGGUGGCUCACACCUAUAACCCCAGCACUUUGGGAGGCCAAGGCAGGAGGAUCACUUGAGCCCAGGAGUUCAAGACCAGCCUGGGCAACAUAGUGAAACCUCGUCUCUACAAAAAAAUACAUUAGCCAGCUGUGGUGGUAUGUGCCUGUAGUCCCAGGAGGCUGAGGUGGGAGGAUCGCUUGAGCCUGGGGGAGGUUGAGGCUACAUUGAGCCAUGAUCGCCUCACCUGGGUGACAAAGUGAGACUGUGUCUCAAAAAAGAAAAAGAAAAGAAAUGUAGGCCCUUAGCCUGUACCUCCCCAGCCUGUUAGGCAGAAUCUGAAUUCCACAAAAACACCCCCAAGGGAUUUAGGAGGAUGUUGAAAUCUGAGACCCUCCCAUGGUUGAGGCCACCAGUCACUUACACACAAAUGCCUUCCUCUGCAGCACCAGGAGACAGAGCCCAUCACAGAACUUCUCAGGGUGCCUCCUACACCACACUAGCUUUGUGUGUUUGUUCUUUAAUGCCUCAAGGCAUACUACUAGCCAAGGAGAGUAACUAACAGCAGCUGUUGAACACUAUGGGUCAGACUUUGACCAUCUGUUAUGGACUGAAUUGUGUCACCUACCCAUGACUAAAUUCAUAUGCUGAAGCUCUGACCUCCAACAGGGACUGUAUUUGGAGACAGGGCCUUUGGGAGGUAAUUAAGGUUAAAUAAGGUCAUAAGGGUGGGGUGAUAAGCUGACAAAAGGGAGGCUGGUUGUGGUGGCUCACGCCUGUAAUCCCAGCACUUUGGGAGGCAGAGGUGGGUGGAUCACUUGAGGUUAGCAGUUCAAAACCAACCUGGCCAACGUGGUGAAACCCCACCUCUAC